ensembl:lncRNA
AUGUCCUCAAUUCAUCGUUUGACAGAGUUCGUCGUCGAGCGACUAACUGCUGCUGCAGAACAAAUAUCCAGAGACUUUGAAACAAGUGUCGUCGAGUACCAGGAAGAGAUCGUCCGUCAGCGCAGACUGCUGGACAUCGUCUGGAAACCCGAGAGGAAGCUCCACAGGACCGAGUUCCCACAGCAACAUGUCUGUAAGGAGGAGGAGGUUCUCUCUGAGCAGCAGCCCUGUGACCAGGAGAGGAACUCCAGUCUGGACCAAGAGGAGCCAGAGCAACCACCACCUGCUGCUGAAGAAAAACCCAGAGUCACCGAGAAUAUUAUCAUUGAGUUCAAUGAAGACAUUGAGCAUCAGCGCAGACUGCUGGAUAUCGUCUGGAAACCCGAGAUAAAGCUCCACAGGACACAGCUCCCACGGCAACAUGUCUGUAAGGAGGAGGAGGUUCUCUCUGAGCAGCAGCUCCUCUCUCACUACUCUCCUGUAGCCGAGAGCCAGGAUCAGAGAGGAAGUGAGCAGGUGGAGCCAGGAUCAACUAGAAAUGAAGAGACAAAGAGAAAGAAGAGACGUCACAAUAACACAAGUCACAGUGACAAUGUAGACAACUCUCCCCCAACAAAGAGUCACUGUAACAGUCACACAGAGUUUGUUAACAAGCGACUAACUGCUGCUGCUGAACAAAUAUUCAUAUUCUUUGAAAAAACUGUCGUCGAGUACCAGGAAGAGAUCGUCCGUCAGCGCAGACUGCUGGAUAUCAUUUUGAAACCCGAGAUAAAGCUCCACAGGACUGAGCUCCCACAGCAACAUGUCUGUAAGGAGGAGGAGGUUCUCUCUGAGCAGCAGCCCUGCGACCAGGAGAGGAACUCCAGUCUGGACCAAGAGGAGCCAGAGCCUCCACCACCUGCUGCUGAAGAAAAACCCAGAGUCACCGAGAAUAAUGAAGACAUUGAGCAUCAGCGCAGACUGCUGGAUAUCGUCUGGAAACCCGAGAUAAAGCUCCACAGGACACGUGAGUACAAGCAGAAUGCUCUGAAUAAGACACAACAGAAACGGAAUUCACUCAAAGAUUAUUUAAGAAUUUUAAACAAGAUAGAUAAAUAGCUAGAUAGAUACUUAAAUUUACUUAAAAGAUCCCAAGCUGGGAAAUUCCGGUGUUACAGCAGCAGGUACACACAACACACCUUACGAAAUAUACAAUAUAUACAAAAAACAAAUGUGAAAAAUAUACAAAUUGAGAAAUAUAUAAAGAAUAAGGAAAAUAAAUAUAUUUUUUUACAUGAAACAAAGACCCAUCAGUGUCUCUGUGUUUUGCUUCGUAUAUGUUGACUGUUCUCCAAACUAAGUUAAUUUUCUUCUGUUAAUGCCUUGACAUGGACAGAGUCAUGUCUAAAUUCAAUAGAACAGUGUGCGAGUAAUGAUUCAUACUUAUUUUCCGCUGACUUCACUAUUGCAGUUCCACAGGGAUCUAUCCUCCGACCAAUUCUAUUUAGCUUAUACAUCAAUGGUUUACCAUUGAUUUGCCCAAAGGUCCAGAUGUAUGCAGAUGAUACACUCAUUUAUACCCAUGCUAACACAAGGGAACAGGCUGCUUCCAAACUAACUGCUGUAUUGAACAAAGCGUCAGACUGUUUAACUCACUGUUGUCUCACUCUUGAUGUAAGAGAUACGGUAGGCAUGUAUUUUUCUAUCAAGAGAAAUGACAAACAUCAACCUGACAUUGCUGUCAAAGGUGAAGUAAUACAUGUUGUUGAGAACUUCAAGAAUAGUAACUGUAACUAAAAUCUUAUAAAGGUCUCCAAAAGUGUAAGAGUUUGUCUAAUGAAUUUUAGACAUAUUAGUUACCACCUGUCCAAAAUGCUUCUAAACUGUUUAUGUACUCUGUGAUUUUCUCACACUUAUCUUAAUGUGAUACAAGCUGCUCCCGGGCAGGUGUGAUUAACCUAAAACCAUCAUACACUCUUUACAAACAAUCUGUGAAAAUUCUCUAUAUAAACCAAGGAGCCCCCAUCAUCGUACCAUUAUGAAAGAGUAAAAUGUAAUGAUGUUUGACACUUUCCUUUCGUUACAGAUAUGUGCCCAAUGUUUAAGGUAAUUCAUGAUCUUGCGUCACCAUGUAAACAAUGUGUCACUCUGCAGAGACGAUGCUAAGGUCUCCAGGGCCUCAGUCAGAGGUGACUGCUCAUUUAAAUUCAGGGAAACAGAUUUUUGACAAUCUGCAUCCUCAGUCAGAGCAGCAGGAGGAUGGAACACUUAAAACAUGGCUCAAGAAAAAUCUGUCAUGUGGUCAUUGACCAUUGAGCGAAUAAAGGUUUAAACUUGUACUGAUUUGUUCUGAUGUCUGUUUUCUUUAC